rnacentral:rRNA from 1 species
UACGUAGGGACCAAGCGUUGUCCGGAAUCAUUGGGCGUAAAGAGCGUGUAGGCGGCUUGUUAAGUCUUGCGUGAAAUCUCGGGGCUCAACCCCGAGCGGUCGUGAGAAACUGGCAGGCUAGAGUGCGGGAGAGGUGAGUGGAACUGCGAGUGUAGAGGUGAAAUUCGUAGAUAUUCGCAAGAACACCAGUGGCGAAGGCGGCUCACUGGCCCGAUACUGACGCUGAGGCACGAAAGCGUGGGGAGCAAACAGG